UGGGGAAUCUUCGGCAAUGGACGAAAGUCUGACCGAGCAACGCCGCGUGAGUGAAGAAGGUUUUCGGAUCGUAAAACUCUGUUGUUAGAGAAGAACAAGGACGUUAGUAACUGAACGUCCCCUGACGGUAUCUAACCAGAAAGCCACGGCUAACUACGUGCCAGCAGCCGCGGUAAUACGUAGGUGGCAAGCGUUGUCCGGAUUUAUUGGGCGUAAAGCGGGCGCAGGCGGUUUCUUAAGUCUGAUGUGAAAGCCCCCGGCUCAACCGGGGGAGGGCAUUGGAAACGGGGAGGCUUGGGUGCAGAAGAGGGGGGUGGAAUUCCAUGGGUAAGGGUGAAAUGCGUAGAUAUAUGGAGGAACACCAGUGGGGAAGGGGGGUCUCUGGGCUGUAACUGACGCUGAGGCUCGAAAGGGUGGGGAGCAAAAAGG
rnacentral:rRNA from 1 species